AUUGAACGCUGGCGGCAUGCCUAACACAUGCAAGUCGAACGGCGGCAUGAAAUGGGAUAACCCAUUUUGAUGGCGAGUGGCGGACGGGUGAGUAAUAUGUAGGAAUCUACCUAGAGGUGCGGGAUAACUUAGGGAAACUUAAGCUAAUACCACAUAAGCCCUACGGGGGAAAGCAGGGGACCGCAAGGCCUUGCGCCUUAUGAUGAGCCUACAUCGGAUUAGCUUGUUGGUGGGGUAAAGGCCUACCAAGGCGACGAUCCGUAGCUGGUCUGAGAGGAUGAGCAGCCACACUGGGAAUGAGACACGGCCCAGACUCCUACGGGAGGCAGCAGUGGGGAAUAUUGGACAAUGGGCGCAAGCCUGAUCCAGCAAUGCCGCGUGUGUGAAGAAGGCCUUAGGGUUGUAAAGCACUUUCAGUGGGGAGGAAGUUGAGUUUGCUAAUACCAGAUUCAAUUGACGUUACCCACAGAAGAAGCACCGGCUAACUCUGUGCCAGCCGCCGCAGUAA
rnacentral:rRNA from 1 species